ACAGUUUGUCCGGCUAGAUUUUUGCCAAGUAACCGCCGGUUUGCAGUGAUGAUGCACAUUGCAGAGCCGCGGCGCUUCCACUGGAUCGCCUACUCCGGCUCACUCUGAGCCGUAUUUACGCAUCCACAGCUCUACCGCAACUCGAUCCUGAUCAUUUCUACUAUUACUACCAAGCCGAGAUGGAGCGGAGCCGCGAUCGCCUCUCCUUGGUUCCAGUGUCUGACGCGCUAGGCUCGGAAACAACAAGAGGAGUGCAGUUGGCAUUCAUCGGAAAUCCAAGCGCCAAGAAGUACGUGUAUGUCGAUAUGCUUUCGAAGCUUCUACAAUUCCCCGACGUUUCAAUGGCCACUGUCGUCCGUCAAGAGCUCAGCCCUCUACUAAAAGAUUGCAAAUGCGGUUAAUAGAGGAGAAACUGUUCCGGAGGAUAUAAUUUUGGGGCUGUUGUGAAAAAGAUUGGAAGAUGAAUAUUACAGAGGCGAGAUUGGUUUUUUUCUUGAUGGCAUUCCACGUACACGCAUACAAGCUGAGAUCCUUGACCAACUUGCUGAGAUUUGGUAUGAACUUCUAAUGCUCAGAGGAUUUCGUGGUGAAAAGCCAUGGAGGUCGUAUCUUUUCCCUGCUUUCAUGAAUGUUAAGAGAUGAGCAACUCCCUUGUUAUAUUUUUUGUUAUGCCUUUUGCCAUUGCAGAAGGAUCCUGGAAGGAAAAACUACAAGCUUAUGCUGGACAGAUAAUCAUUGAUCAACAUAUUAUCUUGGCUUUAUAAUUUUGGUGUUACUUUAUGAACUCAACUGUGGAUAUUUACCACAACAUUAUUUUGUUUUCCCACACCAUGGUUCCCAUAACCUAGUUUGUCGAUUUUUCUGUGUAUUCAUUUCCAAGCUAAGGCAAGACAACAUUAUAAAAUGUUCGAAAAAGUGAUUGAAAAGAAGAAAAAAAACCCUAUUAAAAUGAUGUAGCCCCUUUAGUUGAGAGAUAUCUUUGUUUUGUCCUUAUUUUCAAAUUCGUGGCACACCAUCCUUUUCCUUUUUCCAGCUGAUGUGCACCUUUCAGACUAAAUCAUAUUUGAAGUUGUUAAGUUACUGAAGGCUGUGUUGUUGGUUUAUACAAGUUUAAUUCCGAGACAAAGCAUCUCCCAGUUUUGUGAACAUGCUGAAUUUACUCUUAUCUGUUGUUACAAUAAUAAUUCGCAAAAAUUGUUUAUAAAUGUGGAUAUGUUUCAUAAAGAAACUGUCAUUUGGGCUUUUAUGAAAUUACACUGAAAAUAGUAAAAAAAAAAAAAAAUUGUAUUUUUGGAUCUUUUUCUGUAGGUUGGACAUUGAAAACUAGAUAUAUACUUAUUUUUCUUUUUCCUUCUUCAGAGCAAGCAGCUGGAAGUUUAUUACAUGAAACAGAAAAAACUUCUUGAGUUUCAAGUUAGUGGUGCACCGGUAGAGACUUGGCAAGGACUUCGGACUUCAUUACAUCUACCACAUAUUGAUGCUGCCCAUUUUUCACAAAAAGAGAUAACAGGUUCCAAUGUACAUUAGACUUUGUAUUACCUAUUUUUCAUUCAGGAGCUGACUUUACAACAAUAGUUAGGCAAAGAGGAAGAGUGUUUGUAUAUACAUAAUAAAUGUUAUAGAUUUAAGUUUUGCUGCUUUUCUGUUGUCCAAGAGUAAAGCAAUAUUGAUCCUGCUAUUUGUAUUCAUAUCUUUGGCAUUUUAGCAGAGACUUAGUGCCUUUCUCCAGUUUUUGCUAUAUUCUUACCUAAUUCUUAGAUUGAUUUUUUCA